rnacentral:lncRNA from 1 species
UUCCUAAGCAAGAGGCAGAAGGAUGAGGGGGAGAUAUAAUAUGAAGAACAGAUAGAGAAUACCUAUUCCUGUUGGUCAAAACAGGGAUCAGCAGAAUCCUGGAACCUGGCUUCCUAUCAUCACAGAUUUAAAUAUGGGAAGGGCCUAAGAGAGCUUCUAAGUGCAAUUCGUUUUAGAGAAAAGGGAACUAAAGUCCAGAAAGAGAAAUUCCAGGAAAAGAAACUUGCUAACUUCAUAAAUCAAGAAAGUGAAAUUUUUGAAGAAGCCAUCAUAAAGAAGCCUGAAGAAACCACACAUUGCAUCAAAAGAUCCAGAAUAAACUUUGGAAUGUGGUGAAUUGAACUGAAGGGUGUUGAACACAUUUACUCUGAAUAUAAGCUCUUAUGCCAAAGGGGACUGCCCCAUAAUUGGCUUUUUAUCAAUAUGCCUACCAAUCAUUGGUUUUGUUCUUUCUCUUUAUUUCCCUCUUAUUUCCAAAUUAUUGUAAUUUCUUCUUAGAAAGUGCAAUAUUGUAUGUAACUCUAGUAAGAGAUCUUUAGAGAUAUAAGCUAGUUAUGUGAAAUGAUUCAUUGGGGAGCCUAGGCAUGUAAAUCCGGGAGAUUUCAACAUGUUCAUCUCCCAAAGAAUCACAGGGGGUGUUGUGUGAAGGGAACCCCUUCCUCCAAGGAUCAUGAACUUUUUGCUCAUCUGCAUCAGCACAUUGGCUUGGCUGGAAUGCUCCAAACAGAGAGACUUUAGUUCCUGAGAUGUGCCAGACCAACACACAGGAAAAGGACGUGACUUGGAGAAGGAGAACUAUAAGGAGAUGGUAGAGAAGGCUGGGUCUUUUUGUCAGGAGAUUUUUGGCUGGGAGCUUGUCUGCCAUCCAGCAUUGGUGACUUGGGCAGAAGACCCUCAUGUGGGCUAGUAAAAUUAGGAUGGCAGGCUAGAAAAUAUUUUCCUAUUUCCUUCCCUCCUUAUUUCUUUCUUAUAUAUUA